CAGGCACACAAAAAAUGAAACAGGAUCAGGCAGCAUCAAGAAGUGCUGUUUAUGAGGAAAUUUUGAGCAAGCAUGCCUCUCGUGCCCUUGAAAAAAAUAAAGCCGCCCGAGCUUUGCAAACACCCUCAAACAGGCGUGUGGAGUUCAAUGAAGACACCACAAACAAAGAACGCAAACACAAGCAAAUGAGGAAAGAGACUUGACAGGAAGCUUAUGAGAGUGUACUGAAAGAGCGCAAUGAACUGCGACAAGCGGUUGCCAAAAUCAAUGAAAGAAUUGAUCGAAUAGACGUGAAGCUUUCAAUGAUUGUAGAAAUGCUACAGGCGAGAAGUGCCCCUCAGCCUGAAAAGGCACAAAAAAGUGCCCCGCUUCUCGAGCAAGCACAACAGUCCCCUACAGAUCUGUGGGAGGAUGGCCAAGACCUUAAUGGUUUGGAUUACGAAGUUGAACCGUCACACACAGCCCCCACACCACCACCAGCAGCACACAUGGACACUACAUCCAAGCCUGCUGCAGACGAACUCC